rnacentral:tRNA from 1 species
GGAGUUGUGGCUCAGUGGUAGAGCGUGCACUUUGUAUGUGCGAGGCACUGGGUUCGAUCCUCAGCACCA